rnacentral:rRNA from 1 species
AUGGCUCAGAACGAACGCUGGUGGCGUGUCUUAUACAUGCAAGUCGAGCGGUCCGCAAGGAUAGCGGCGAACGGGUGAGUAACGCGUAAGCAAUCUGCCCCGCAUAUUGGGAUAGCCGUGCCAACGCGCGGAUAAUACCGAAUAACGUGGCCCCGGACAUCCGGGGUUGACGAAAGAUUCAUCGAUGCGGGAUGAGCUUGCGUCCGAUUAGCUAGUUGGCGGGCAACGGCCCACCAAGGCGACGAUCGGUAGCCGGCCUGAGAGGGUGAUCGGCCACAUUGGGACUGAGAUACGGCCCAGACUCCUACGGGAGGCAGCAGUAGGGAAUAUUGCACAAUGGGGGAAACCCUGAUGCAGCAACGCCAACGUGUGGGAAGAAGCAUUUCGGUGUGUAAACCACUGUCGUGAGGGAAUAAUACGCGUCUUCGGGCGCGGGGGAAUGUACCUCGAGAGGAAGCACCGGCAAACUUCGUGCCAGCAGCCGC